rnacentral:rRNA from 1 species
GAWGGCGAGUCGCAUGCUCCGGCCGCCAUGGCGGCCGCGGGAAUUCGAUUAGAGUUUGAUCCUGGCUCAGGACKAACGCUGGCGGCGUGCCUAAUACAUGCAAGUCGAGCGGACGGAAGGGAGCUUGCUCCCGGACGUCAGCGGCGGACGGGUGAGGAACACGUGGGCAAUCUGCCCAUCAGUCGGGAAUAACACUCGGAAACGGGUGCUAAUGCCGGAUAGGCAUCUUGGGGGCAUCCCUGGGAUGGGAAAGGCGCUUAGGCGCUGCUGAUGGAGGAGCCCGCGGCGCAUUAGCUGGUUGGCGGGGUAACGGCCCACCAAGGCGACGAUGCGUAGCCGACCUGAGAGGGUGACCGGCCACACUGGGACUGAGACACGGCCCAGACUCCUACGGGAGGCAGCAGUAGGGAAUCUUCCGCAAUGGGCGCAAGUCUGACGGAGCAACGCCGCGUGAGCGAAGAAGGCCUUCGGGUUGUAAAGCUCAGUCAAUCGGGAAGAGCGACCUAGGGAGGGAAUGCCCUAGGGGAGACGGUACCGAUGGAGGAAGCCCCGGCAAACUACGUGCCAGCAGCCGCGGUAAUACGUAGGGGGCGAGCGUUGUCCGGAAUGACUGGGCGUAAAGCGUGCGUAGGCGGCCUUGCGCGUCUGAGGUUUAAGACCACGGCUCAACCGUGGGGGUGCCUUGGAAACGGUGAGGCUUGAGUGCUGGAGAGGCAAGGGGAAUUCCACGUGUAGCGGUGAAAUGCGUAGAGAUGUGGAGGAAUACCUGUGGCGAAGGCGCCUUGCUGGACAGUGACUGACGCUGAGGCACGAAAGCGUGGGGAGCAAACAGGAUUAGAUACCCUGGUAGUCCACGCCGUAAACGAUGAGUGCUAGGUGUUGGGGGUGCGAGCCCUCAGUGCCGAAGGAAACCCAAUAAGCACUCCGCCUGGGGAGUACGGUCGCAAGACUGAAACUCAAGGAAUUGACGGGGCCCGCACAAGCAGUGGAGCAUGUGGUUUAAUUCGAAGCACGCGARACCUUACCAGGCUUGACAUCCCUYUGACGCACUCAGAGAUGGGUGUUCCCGUUUGGGCAGAGGAGACAGGUGGUGCAUGAUUGUCGUCAGCUCGUGUCGUGAGAUKUUGGGUAGUCCGCACGAGCGCCACCCUUGACCUGKGUUACAGCGCGUGAGGKGGGACUCMAGGKACUGCGGCSCAGCGAGGAGGCGGGAKKAMGUCAAUCAUCAKC